rnacentral:rRNA from 1 species
GCUGGCGCUCGUAUAUACGAGUCCCAUCCGGUAAAGCGAAUGAUUAGAGGCCUUGGGGUCGAAACGAUCUCAACCUAUUCUCAAACUUUAAAUGGGUGGGAUCCGCGGCUUGCUUGAAUUAGUGAAGCCGCGGUCUCGGAUCGGAGUGCCCAGUGGGCCACUUUUGGUAAGCAGAACUGGCGCUGUGGGAUGAACCAAACGCAGAGUUAAGGCGCCCGAAUAAACGCUCAUUCGAAACCAUGAAAGGUGUUGGUUGCUUAAGACAGCAGGACGGUGGCCAUGGAAGUCGGAAUCCGCUAAGGAGUGUGUAACAACUCACCUGCCGAAGCAACUAGCCCUGAAAAUGGAUGGCGCUGAAGCGUUUUGCCUAUACUCUGCCGCCGGAGGCAAAGGGCGCGCCCCUUCGGGGGCGCGUCGCAAAGCCCCGGCGAGUAGGAGGGUCGCGACGGUGAGCGCAGAAGGGUCUGGGCGUGAGCCUGCCUGGAGCCGCCGUCGGUGCAGAUCUUGGUGGUAGUAGCA